rnacentral:rRNA from 1 species
CACGUAGGGUGCGAGCGUUGUCCGGAAUUAUUGGGCGUAAAGAGCUCGUAGGCGGUGUGUCGCGUCGGCCGUGAAAACCUGCAGCUUAACUGUGGGCGUGCGGUCGAUACGGGCAUCACUGGAGUUCGGCAGGGGAGACUGGAAUUCCUGGUGUAGCGGUGAAAUGACGCAGAUAUCAGGAGGAACACCGGUGGCGAAGGCGGGUCUCUGGGCCGAUACUGACGCUGAGGAGCGAAAGCGUGGGGAGCGAACAGG